rnacentral:rRNA from 1 species
CCAAUAGCGUAUAUUAAAGUUGUUGCAGUUAAAAAGCUCGUAGUUGAAUUUCGGAAUCAAUAUAUCGGUCGUGCCUUGGUACGUACUGGUAUCAUUGGUUUCUCCUUUCUGACGAACCAUGAUGUCAUUAAUUUGGUGUUAUGGGGAGUUAGGACUGUUACUUUGAAAAAAUUAGAGUGUUUAAAGCAGGCUUUAGCUUGAAUACAUUAGCAUGGAAUAAUGAAAUAGGACGUUCGGACCUAUUUUGUUGGUUUCUAGGAUCAACGUAAUGAUUAAUAGGGAUAGUUGGGGGCAUUAGUAUUCAAUUGUCAGAGGUGAAAUUCUUGGAUUUAUUGAAGACUAACUACUGCGAAAGCAUUUGCCAAGGAUGUUUUCAUUAAUCAAGAACGAAAGUUAGGGGAUCGAAGACGAUCAGAUACCGUCGUAGUCUUAACCCUAUACUAUGCCGACUAGGGAUCGGAUGAUGUUAAUUUUUUAAUGACUCAUUCGGCGCCUUACG